GUGCUCCUACGGGGGGCAGCAGUGGGGAAUAUUGCACAAUGGGGGAAACCCUGAUGCAGCGACGCCGCGUGAGUGAAGAAGUAUCUCGGUACAUAAAGCUCUAUCAGCAGGGAAGAAAAAAAGUCUUUGGCUUUGGACGGUACCUGACUAAGAAGCCCCGGCUAACUACGUGCCAGCAGCCGCGGUAAUACGUAGGGGGCAAGCGUUAUCCGGAUUUACUGGGUGUAAAGGGAGCGUAGCCGGCAGCGCAAGUCUGGAGUGAAAUGCCGGGGCUCAACCGCGGAACCGCUUUUGA
rnacentral:rRNA from 1 species